rnacentral:lncRNA from 1 species
CCCUUGCCGUGCCAUUGUUCCCACAAUGCCGUGACUCGGAUUCGAACCGAGGUUGCUGCGGCCACAACGCAGAGUACUAACCACUAUACGAUCACGGCGAGCUACCGGGGACCUGUAAGGAUGGCCUUCUGAUUGUUCUCUUCAAUAGUCAUAGGCCUUCGCAGUGUGCACGUCACGGAGGGACCCACCUAUGGGGCGGAGUUCCAGCCCAACGCUGAAUCUGAGAAUGCGCAGGCGCAUUGCGCUCUGGCCAGUUGCUCGGGUUCUCUCAGGUUUUGGUCCCUUAGCCAUAGAAGCGGCGACGUUGCGGUGGGGAAGGGAAGAUGCCCAUCUCCUGUGCCUGGGAGGGUCUGCAGGGGACGCUCGUAAGGGGUUCUCGUCCCUGCUGAUUUCCCCAGAAGUGACCCAACAUCGCCUCGGUGGAGGAUGUGGACGCCCGCAGGACCGGUUGGCCACGUAGAAGGGGCUCAAUGAAUGCAUCUCACCCUGCUGAUCCCCUCCCCACCAACUUCCUUGCAGCUUCUGUUCCUGCCCCGACGGCCCUGACUCCUCCCUCACAGUACUGCCGCCGCAGGAACCGGUGCCCACCUUGGUUGUGCCCCGGGCGGCAGCAGGCACCAGUCCGGUUUUUCUUCUUGUCCAUCACUGCUCCCGCCCCCACGACGUUUAGAACCAGGCCGAGUCCACAGUAGGCAGACGCUUUUUGCUAAACUGAGAACGUGCCACUGGUUCUAACAAGAGAAUCCACGGUGACCAUCUGUCUGCUCUAAUCAUCACCCCCACCCCCUGCAGCGUCACCGGAGGGGUGUUACUAAACACGAAUUGAAUCCUUUCACUCCUCCACCCCUCACCCCCACCCACAGACUGCAGGAAAUUCGUCCACCUUUUCCAGCCCUUGGCCUUGCCUCAGUGUCGUUUCCCAUUCCUGAAUUAACUUGCAUACAUUCACUCAACAGGUCCUUUAGAGGAGGGGAAGGGGGAAGAUUUAUAAAGAAUUGCCGAUAGUUCCUUCUUGAGACCUCCUUCAUACCUUUGCACACAAGAUUAUCCUGGCUGCUCGGCAAAUUCCUUCUCCGCCUUUAAAAGCUACUUCAAAAGUCACCUCCUCUGCGAAGCCUUCUCUUUCUAUUAUGAUUGGGAGUCCUUUUCCAGUGCUGCCAUAGAAAUUCGUACAUAUGCCUAUGACAACAAUUAGCCUUGUGAGUGCUCUGUGCUUUGUCCGCCCUGAACGGCACCGCGGGUAGGCCGAGUAACCCGAAGCCUAUAUUCUUUGGAAGUCCAAUUUAGCCAGAGCCGGCGUGACGUAAACGUCGUUUCCAACUGUCACAAGGGGAUUGGGAUCCAUUUUCGAGAAUGUUGUUACAAAUUCGAAAUAAAAAUGGAGGACGGCGAUAAAAAGCGAAACCCCUGCCGUGCCAUUGCUUUCGCAAUGCCGUGACUCGGAUUCGAACCGAGGUUGCUGCGGCCACAACGCAGAGUACUAACCACUAUACGAUCACGGCGAGCUACUGGGGAUUCGGCCUUCGGUUUCCUCGCCUGAGUUCUUCUGUGUUGAAAGCCCCGCCCCCUCAUCACGUCAUUAUUUGUUCCCGCUGAGCUGGGGCUUCGCCUCGCCUCGCGCGAGCGCAGACGCACUGGUCUUCCUGCUUUCUUGAGUUCGAUCCGCGCUCGGCGCGGGCCAGAUCCCGCCGCUUCACCAGUUUGGAGGCUGCGCUCGAGCUUUCCCUUGACCCCGCGCCUCGAAGGAAGUUGUGUGGGUGGGUCGGAACUGAUUUUUCCUUCUUGUAGAAUUCGAGAGACCAUUCCCAGCCAGAAUCCGCUCACAUAGCGUGAGCGCCGGGGCCUGGUGGGUGUGAGAGGGACGACCCCGGGGCAUUCGGGCGACACCGGGGCAUCACAUCCUUACAGGCUACGGGAGCGUCCCGGCCUCCUAGGAAUCCUUACGUUUGCAAAGCACUUUCCCGUCCUUUCUUUUACGAUCGGUGCGCACGACCGGCGGACACCGGCGGGGGAGACCACGGCGCCCCUACUUCGCUUCGGGGUCAGCGAGAGGGCCAGGCAAGCCUGGCAGACCGCGGGCGACGUUGGAAGGCUAAGGAGGCGGCCGGCCAGACCUGAAGGCCCACACUCGGAGGCGAACGUUUCGUGGCGUCCCGGUAGCUCGCCGUGAUCGUAUAGUGGUUAGUACUCUGCGUUGUGGCCGCAGCAACCUCGGUUCGAAUCCGAGUCACGGCAUUGUGGGAACAAUGGCACGGCAAGGGCGCCUUUUUAGAUUUGGGAAGCCACAUUGCCUUCCAUGGCUGUGCCCCGACUGACCCCUUUGAUAGUCGGUUAGGUUUGGGCCGAAAUUGGAAUGUGGCAAAAACGGACAAGUUCUGCGGAUUCCUGGGACUUUACUUCCGCUGUCUAGUUCUCUUAAGAGCGAGUGAAGCGGCCCAUCUCCAUCCUCCCCGCUGUGUGAUUGUUUUAGGACGUCGUUCUGUGUGGUACUUUCCCUUUCCUCAUUUGGCCGCUGUCCGUGGUCAAACCGUACACCAGAUCCUCAGAAAAGCCUCACCCUGCUACAACUUCAAUACUUUUGAGUGUAGGGGUUAUAGGAACAAGGGGCAAACAUUUCUUAAGGGUUAGACUAAGAAUGCAGGUUAGACAAUACGGUGAACCAUUUCUGGUGCAGAUCCUGUGACCAGUGAAAAACAUGACCACACUAGAGGCACCGUUUCCCAUAGCCACUGUGAGGGGUGCUAAUGAGGGGCUUGUGGCCUCCGCUUCCACAGCCUCCUAGGUGAGAGGCUGUUUUCUCCUGGAGAAUUUUUUUUUUCCCAUUCUACCUCAGUUUUAAAAGCAAAUUUCAUUUGUUAGUUGGUUUUAUGUGCGCUUAAAAAAUCCGAGCUCCACAGAUUCGGGUCUGUGGACCCGAAUGGCAUUAGGCAAAAUGGAAGUGAGUUUUGGAUUUGGCUCUCAGGUGGCUGCUGGCGGCUGUGUCACUGUCAGGGAGGGAAUGAGGUAGGACUGAGUGAGGAAUGAGCUUCUCCAGCUCCUCUCAGGGGACCUGGAGGUGGCAGGGCAAGUCAGGACGCAUUCCUGGAAGAGAUGGACGUUUCGCUGGGGCUGUGCCCCUUUUACCCACAAUCCAUCAGCAAGGACUCACUUGAACAGCAUGUAAAAAGCAAGACACUACUGCGGGCUGUAAUUUCCUAGGGUCUCCCAGAUCCAGGUUCCCUAAAUUUGAUGAGUUUAAAGCCACAAAACAGACAGCUCAGAGCAUGAGAGAAUAGAAUAGCAGAAGGUCGACCUGAGAACUUGCCAUCCCUUCCACCUUGAGGUCUUUCCUAGGUAUCAGAACCAGGAAGGAGACAGGGAGGUUUAAGACCUCUCUAGUCACACAUUCCAGCUCCAGCUGUUUCUGUUUGGGUUGGAUUUGUUAUUUUUUGUAGGCUUCCUGUCUCCAUUGUAAGUCACUUAAUUUUUUUCUUUUCCUUCUGAUGGACUCUGUAGUAGCUGACACUCUUUAGGCUGGUCCUAACUCUAAUUAAGGUUAGCAUAGCUUAAUAAUUAAGCCAGUGACGCCUGGAAGCAGGCUCCCUAGGGUUUGAAUCCCGACUCUUGCUUUAAUUAGCGGGGUAACUUUAGGUAAGCCACAUAAUUGUCUCUGUGCCUCAGUUUUCUCAUUUGUAAAAUGGAAAUAAAAGCAGGCUUAUUAUGAAAAUUAAAUGAGUUAAUAUUUGUAAAGCAACAGUGCCUGCUACUCACUAAGCCCUAUUUAAGUUUUGCUUAAAUAAACUAGUAAUGAAAUCAACUCCUUUAAAAGGACAUAAUAAAAUCAACAACUUAAAAAGGACCGCAAUGGUACUAAGCAGCUAAAUGAGUGUUGUGUUUCAGAGUAGACAUUCCACUUUCUCCAAUCAGCUACCCCAAAUAUUUUUGGAACUCUUGUUUGGGGAUUACCUUCAGGCCUAAUUUAUAAGUCAUAUAAGGAAAUCCAUCUCAAUAUUUAUAGUCACAUUUUAUUUUGAAAUGUUUUUUGACUGCUUUUAAAUCCACCUUCAAAGAAAAAGAAAAACUGAGUUUUAAAGGUGCAACAGGCUUCAACGACCAUUCCAAAAAUGUUUUAGGCAACAUUCCAGCAAAAUAUUUUUCGGUAUCAGUGUGUUGACUUUUUUUUAAAACAUUAUUUUUAUUAAGUUUUUAAUUUUAAUUCCAGUAUACUUAACACACAGCAUUCUAUUUUUUAAAAAAGAUUUUAUUUAUUUAUUUGAGAGAGAGAGAGAGAGAGAGAGAAAGCAUGAGCAUGGGGUGAGGGGAGAGGGAGGAGCUUGCCAAGCAGGGGAUCCCAGGACCCCAGGAUCAUGACCUGAGCCAAAGGCAGAGGCUUAACGGACUGAGCCACCCAGGUGCCCCCAGUGUGUUGACUUCUAAGGGGCAGACCUUGAAGGGGACAACUGUAAUUUAUCAGCUUCAGUGUUUGCAUAAACAGCCAACCCCAUGGCUUCCGGGUCACACCUGGUGCAUCUGGGGGCUGGUCACCGCAGAGGUGCAGUACAGACUGGACCAACAGCCUUGGUAGCUCCUGGAAGGUGGUUCAAAAUUCAGAAUCUUGGUUCACAACCCAGAACUACUAGAUCAGAAUCUUCAUUUUAACAAGAUCUUCCCAGGUGAUUCAUCUGCACAUUCAAGUUUGAGAAGUGCUGCUGUUUAGAACACUCGGCUGGAAUGGAGCCCUUGUUCACCUUGUUGGUACUUGGAGUUACUAGAAGGGACCUGCUAGAGUCUACUGGACCUCAUCUAGAGGAGUAACAUUACGGUUUUGAGGAUGACAAGAUGGAGCUCUGGGAGGGAGUCACCAAGAGGCCCUAUUUGGGGCAUCUAAGGAGGAGGCAGCACCCCUGGACUUCCACUAGGAGGUGCUGCCCCUCCUAGGAAGUGGAUGUGGAAUGCUGAGGCUGGAUAAGACUCAGUCUGGGAGAUACCACUUUGGACUUAACCCCCAAGAGGGAGCCCAUUCCUCAAAGAUUCUCUGGAUAUUCAGACUCAAGUUUCAUUCAUUCAUUCCAUAAACUAGGAUCUUUUAGCUCUCAAAGUGCUUUGUAUCCUGGGGAGCUGCAAAGGUAUAUACUAAUACUGCUUGCCCAAAAUAGUUUAGUUUUCCAGCUAAGAGAAACAGCCCAGAGGCAACAAUCAGAAAAAAAAACAAAUAAACAAACACAAGAGGGGAGCCUGGGUGACUCAGUUGGUUAAGCGUUGGACUCUUCAUUUUGGCUCAGGACAUGAUCUCAGGGUCCUGAGAUCGAGCCCCUACCCCCACAUGGAGGCUGCUUAACAUUCUCUCUUUCUUCUGCCCCUCCCCACCCUAAACACACACACACACACACACACACACACACACA